rnacentral:lncRNA from 1 species
AGCCUAAUGGAUGUCACCGAGGAGGUGUGGGACAAGCUCUGGACAUUAAUGUGAAGGCCCCAGCCCUGAUGACAAAGGCAGUGGUGCCAGAAAUGGAGAAACGAGGGGCGGCUCAGUGGUGAUCGUGUCUUCCAUAGCAGCCUUCAGUCCAUCUCCUGCUUCAGUCCUUACAAUGUCAGUAAAACAGCCUUGCUGGGCCUCAACAAUACCCUGGCCAUAGAGCUGGCCCCAAGGAACAUUAGGGUGAACUGCCUGCACCUGGACUUAUCAAGACUAGCUUCAGCAGGAUGUUAGGCGAGCCAGAGGAUUGUGCUGGCAUCGUGUCUUUCCUGUGCUCUGAAGAUGCCAGCUA